rnacentral:misc_RNA from 1 species
UGAACUCUCAAGGCUCCUUUCCUUUGAUUGGGUCAGGAUAUCUUGGAUCAUGGGUGUUUGCGAGCUCUGGCUCGCUCGCCUUAAAGACAAUGUGGCAUUCUUCUCUGAAGCUGCUGCUGGGCUUGACCUGGAGUGAUAGAAGUCUUUCGAGAUCUCUAGGGAACUGUCUCAUGAUGGUGCCUGCUGUGGUGGGAGGGAGUGUCUGUCAGACUCAAUUGACGU